AAAGUCAGGUUUUUAGUUGGCAUGUAAUGUUUCCAACUGCCUAAUUAACAGAAACUUUAUUUUUGUAUUUUGGCAAUCCUUGGAAUUUUAUUUUGCAGAAUUUAAAAAAUGCAUUUAUGAUCUUCUGGAAAGGGUUUUGCCUCAAUUCCAGUUCCUGGCAUGACCUCUGCUGGAUCGUUAUUUCUCACCAGCCAAGUAGCAAAGGAACAUGACGUCUGAGACCUCCCUUUCUUCAUCAGUGGGGCUGACUGAGCUGGGGGUUUGAAACCAGGGGUGACCUUUUGUGUCUCAUGUUCUCUUUAGAGAAUGGCAAUGGUCUCUGCAAUGUCCUGGGUCCUGUACUUGUGGAUAAGUGCUUGUGCGAUGCUGCUCUGUCAUGGGUCGCUUCAGCAUACCUUCCAACAGCACCACCUGCACAGACCAGGCUUCUGGUGGUUGACUUCAAGUAUACAGUAUAUCCUCGCUCACUUAUGGAAGUUUAAAUCAGCUGAUCUUAACUGGCUGGAUCUGUUCCACGUGUCUCCUUGUCUGGUGCAUGUUGAAGAACACAAGCUACCUAAGAAAGCUCUUUUCAUGGAAUAGCAACAGAGCAAGAGAGCAAAAAUACUACAAGAGACCUGAGAAGACCCAGGCUUGGAAAUGGUGCGACGUGCCUUUUGCCCAUAGUUCCAUUGGCUAAAGAAAAUCAUCUGUAUAAGCCAAGUGUUAUUUUUUUGUUAGAUAAACUAUGAAGUCUUCAGAUUUAAGUUUCAGCCUGGAUUCAUUGGUAAUAGUCAUCCUACAUUUUAAAAGAAUAAGACAGUGAGCUUAUCCAAGACUUUGAAGAAAAGGUCCUUGCUUGGCUGGUUCCACCUAAAAUUACCCUGGAGAGAUAGUGAAGGCACAAAUGAUUGUGUAUUUAUCAGUGUGCUAUUAGAUAAUCUAUUAAAUCCUUUUCAGCUUUCCAGUCAUUUCAUUAGGUUCAUUUUUUUCCCCAGCUUUAUUCCAUUUUGCAAUUCAAGUACCAGAAUUAACAAAGGAGUAAAGUCUCGCAGGGAGAAUAUCUUGCAUCCUUGAGAAGGUUUCAUUCACAAAUGGUUAUGAGCUGUAAAUAAUCUGAAGAAGUGUUCUAGAGCUCCUGUCCUCAAUUAAUUACUAAAGUUUUGGGACUUAGUUUAGGGGCACGUUUUAAUUAUUUUGCCUCUUUGGCAGCAUGUUUGUCUCAAUAGGUUUACAGCUACCCUUAGAUUUAUAGUAAUUUCUUCAUUUUCCUCUUAUUCAAUCAAUGUAAGCCAUAUUCCCACUAAAAAUAUUCACUUUUGCAACCAUAGUGUUGGAUGCAAUAUAGAUAUUUGGGCAGUGGUUUUCAAAAUUUGCAACCAAUCCAUAUCUUUAUUAGUUUCUGUACUACGUGGAAAAUUGGAACACAGAUCUAGGUAAUAUUUUUGGCAUUGUGGCUUGUAUGAUAAGGUUAUGUUUCAGUGACUCUGAUUGUAGGAGCAUAAGAUUAUUCAUCCUCAGAACAAAGACAUGGCUAGCCAGACCCUUAGAGCUAUUGUUGUUCCAUUAAUCCCAGAAAAUGUUAACUUGAAUUUUAUCUGAAAAAUUUUUCCAUUAUUAAAACACUAUCUCAAACCAGGUAUUUAGCUCAGUGGUCCCAGCGCCUGCCUUGCAAGUGCAAGGUCCUAAGUUCGAUCCCCAGUACCAAAAACAAAAAAAACAAACAAAAACACUAUCUCAUAACUACCCUCUUUAUAAGGAUACAUUUUCAACUUUUAAAUCAAUUGAUUGGUUAUAAAUAAAAGCCCUAC
rnacentral:lncRNA from 1 species